rnacentral:rRNA from 1 species
CAAGCUACUAAGGGCCCGUGGGGGAUGCCUAGGCGCCAGGAGGCGAGGAAGGGCGUGGCAGGCUGCGAUAAGCCCGGGGGAGCCGCCAAGCAGGCAAUUGAUCCCGGGAUCCCCGAGCGAACCCAGGGAACUGAAACAUCUCAGUACCUGGAGGAAAAGAAAGCAAAAGCGAUUCCCUGAGUAGCGGCGAGCGAAAGGGGAACAGCCCAAACCAUCGGGACGUACUCCCGGUGGGGUUGUAGGGCCGGGCUGCCUUCAAUGGCAGGGAGUUACCAAACCGAUCCCUAGCAGAACACUGCUGGAAAGCAGGACCAUAGAGGGUGAUAGUCCCGUAUGCGAAAGGGGUUGGUCUCCCGUCCGGUACCUGAGUAGCGCCCGUCACGUGAAAGCGGGCGUGAAUCUGCGGGGCCCAUCCCGUAAGGCUAAAUACUCCCUGGCGACCGAUAGUGCACCAGUAGCGCGAGCGAACGGUGGAAAGAACCCCUAUUAGGGGAGGCAUUGAACCUGAAACCACGUGGCCUACAAGCGGUCGGAGGGCUAUGCCUCCGGGCAACCGGAGGAAGGCCUGACGGCGUACCUUUUGCAUAAUGGUCCGGCGAGUUGCCGUCGUCGGCGAGGCUAAGCCGCUCAGCGGCGGAGCCGUAGCGAAAGCGAGUCUGAACAGGGCGCAAAGUCGGCGGCGGUAGACGCGAAACCGGGUGAGCUACGCACGGCCAGGCUGAAGUGGGGGUAACACCUCAUGGAGGGCCGAACCCACCAGGGUUGAAAACCUGGGGGAUGAGCUGUGCGGAGGAGCAAAAAACUCAUCGAACCCGGAGAUAGCUCGUUCUCCCCGAAAUGCCUUUAGGGGCAGCGUCGCCAAGUGGCCCACGGGGGUAGAGCCACUGAAUUCGACAGGGGGCCCACCAGGCUACCCUUCGAAACCAAACUCCGAAUACCGUGGGCCAGCAGCGGCAGUGAGUCCGUGGGGGAUAAGCUUCACGGUCAAGAGGGGAAGAACCCAGACCGCCUGCUAAGGCCCCCAAGUCCAUGCUCAGUGCGAAAGGAAGUGGGACUCCGCAGACAGCCAGGAUGUUGGCUUAGAAGCAGCCACCAUUUAAAAAGUGCGUAAUAGCUUACUGGUCGAGGAGUCCUGCGCCGAUAAUGAACGGGACUAAGCAUGGCGCCGAAGCAGCGGGAGUGGGCGGGCUUCGGUCUGUCCACUCGGUAGGGGAGCGUCGCACAGGCCUGCGAAGGGAGACGGACAACGACUCCUGGAGGUAGUGCGAGUGAGUAUGCCGGAACGAGUAACGAUAAAACGGGUGAGAAUCCCGUUCGCCGAAAGCCUAAGGUUUCCUGGGGAAGGUAAAUCCGCCCAGGGUUAGCCGGUGCCUAAGGCGAGGCCGAAAGGCGUAGCCGAUGGACAGCAGGUUAAUAUUCCUGCGCCACUCCAGGGGACAAACCCAGCGACGCUGUGGGGAAGGGGUACGCGCAGCUAGAGCGCGCGGGCCGCUGCGGCGGCGGAGGACCUGGAGCCGAACUCCCCGGAACCGCAGCCAAGAAAAACCUGGGGGCGGUAGAACCUGGAGUGACCGUACUAAAACCGACACAGGUAGGCGGGAUGAGGAUUCUCAGGCGCUCGAGAGAACGCUCGUGAAGGAACUCGGCAAGUUGACCCCGUAACUUCGGGAGAAGGGGUGCCCCGGUAGGUCGUAGGCCUCAAGCCGAAGGCCGAGGGGGCCGCAGAGAAUAGGCUCUCGCGACUGUUUACUAAAAACACAGGUCGCUGCGAACUCGCAAGAGGACGUAUAGCGACUGACGCCUGCCCGGUGCCGGUCAGUCAAGGAAGCGGGUUAGCUCCGCAAGGGGCGAAGCUCGCAACCGAAGCUCCGGUAAACGGCGGCCGUAACUAUGACGGUCCUAAGGUAGCGAAGUUCCUUGUCGGGUAAGUUCCGACCUGCAUGAAUGGCGUAACGACGGGAGCACUGUCUCCACGAGCGACUCGGUGAAACUGUAGUCGAAGUGAAGAUGCUUCGUACCCGCAGCUAGACGGAAAGACCCCGUGAACCUUUACUGCAGCCUAGUAUUGGGCUUAGGCCCAGCAUGCGUAGAGUAGGUGGGAGGCUAUGAACCGGCUACUCCGGUAGCCGGGGAGCCGCCGUUGAAACACCACCCUUGCUGUGCUUGAGUUCUAACUCCGUCUCGUCAAGCCGGGCGGAGGACAGUGCUAGGUGGGCAGUUUGACUGGGGCGGUCUCCUCCUAAAAGGUAACGGAGGAGUCCAAAGGUCCGCUCAACCCGGUUGGCAAUCGGGUGCGGAGCGCAAGGGUAGAAGCGGGCUUGACUGCGAGACCUACAAGUCGAGCAGGGACGAAAGUCGGGCCUAGUGAUCCGGCGGUCCCGGAUGGAAGGGCCGUCGCCCAACGGAUAAAAGGUACUCCGGGGAUAACAGGCUUAUCUCCCCUGAGCGUCCACAGCGGCGGGGAGGUUUGGCACCUCGAUGUCGGCUCAUCGCAUCCUGGGGGUGGAGAAGCUCCCAAGGGUUCGGCUGUUCGCCGAUGAAAGCGGUACGUGAGCUGGGUUUAGACCGUCGUGAGACAGGUCGGUCCCUAUCUGCUGCGGGCGGAGGAGACUUGAGGAGAGCUCUCCCUAGUACGAGAGGAUUGGGAGGGACGCACCUCUGGUGUGCCUGUUGUCGCGCUAGCGGCACCGCAGGGUAGCCAACGUGCGGCAGGGAUAAACGCUGAAAGCAUAUAAGCGUGAAGCCCACCCCAAGAUAAGGUCUCCUUGGGCGUCAGCCCUGAAGGCCCCUCGUAGACCACGAGGUUGAUAGGCCGGGUGUGUAAGCGCAGCAAUGCGCUGAGCUAACCGGUACUAAUGGCCGAUCGCUU